rnacentral:tRNA from 1 species
UAGCUUAGUUGGUUGGAGCGUGGUGCUGAUAACACCAAGGCCGCGGGUUCGAUACCCGC